GAUGAACGCUGGCGGCGUGCUUAACACAUGCAAGUCGAACGAGAAAUGUAGACGGAAACCUUCGGGCGGAAGCCUUCAUUUCGAGUGGCGGACGGGUGAGUAACGCGUGGGUAACCUGCCUCAUACAGGGGGAUAACAGUUGGAAACGACUGUUAAUACCGCAUAAGACCACAGCAUCGCAUGAUGCGGGGGUAAAAACUCCGGUGGUAUGAGAUGGACCCGCGUUCGAUUAGCCAGUUGGCGGGGUAACGGCCCACCAAAGCGACGAUCGAUAGCCGAUCUGAGAGGAUGACCGGCCACAGUGGGACUGAGACACGGCCCAAACUCCUACGGGAGGCAGCAGUGGGGAAUAUUGCACAAUGGGGGAAACCCUGAUGCAGCGACGCCGCGUGAGUGAAGAAGUACUUCGGUAUGUAAAGCUCUAUCAGCAGGGAAGAAAAUGACGGUACCUGAGUAAGAAGCCCCGGCUAACUACGUG
rnacentral:rRNA from 1 species